ensembl:lncRNA
GAAAAUGUGGGGUUGAAGCAACGUUACUGCUCUGUCCGGAACACUGAAGGACCUGAGCCCUAGGACCAUGCCUCAGGACUACCUGGCCUGAUGACUCCUUGCUGUCCCCAGUCCACCUGGUCGUGCUGCUGCUCCAGUUUCAACUGUUCUGCCUGCGGCUAUGGAACCCUGACCUGUUCACCGGACGUGCUACCUUGUCCCGGACCUGCUGUUUUCAACUCUCUCUCUCUACCAUACCUGCUGUCUCUAACUCUGAAUGAUCGGCU